rnacentral:rRNA from 1 species
ACAGCAGCCGCCGCGGUAAUACGUAGGGUGCGAGCGUUAAUCGGAAUUAUUGGGCGUAAAGCGAGUGUAGACGGUUAUUUAAGCCAGAUGUGAAAUACCCAAGCCUAACUUGGGAGGUGCAUAUGGAACUGGGUAGCUAGAGUGUGUCAGAGGGAGGUAGAACUCCACGUGUAGCAGUGAAAUGCGUAGAGAUGUGGAAGAAUACCGAUGGCGAAGGCAGCCUCCUGGAAUAACACUGACGUUGAGGCUCGAAAGCGUGGGGAGCAAACAGGAUUAGAUACCCCCGUAGUCCCUGUCUCUUAUAC